rnacentral:rRNA from 1 species
UGGGGGAUAUUGCACAAUGGGCGAAAGCCUGAUGCAGCGACGCCGCGUGGGGGAUGAAGGCCUUCGGGUUGUAAACUUCUUUUGCUCUGAACAAGGCAUGCCUUUGGGGUGUGUUGAGUGUAGGGGUUGAUUAGCGCCGGCUAACUACGUGCCAGCAGCCGCGGUAAUACGUAGGGCGCGAGCGUUGUCCGGAAUUAUUGGGCGUAAAGGGCUUGUAGGUGGCUGGUUGCGUCUGUCGUGAAAGCUCAUGGCUUAACUGUGGGUUUGCGGUGGGUACGGGCUGGCUUGAGUGCAGUAGGGGAGGCUGGAAUUCCUAGUGUAGCGGUGGAAUGCGCGGAUAUCAGGAGGAAUACCGGUGGCGAAGGCGGGUCUCUGGGCUGUUACUGACGCUGAGGAGCGAAAGCGUGGGGAGCGAACAGG